rnacentral:rRNA from 1 species
GUCUCUCUUUAUCUUCGUCUAGUUUCUUGUUCUUUCUUCUUCCUUCCGGUUCCCUUGUGAGGCUGCGAAGCCUCCGCGGGACUAGAUACAAAGGGCGAGGCAGCCGCGGAAGGAUACUACAAAGAGCUAGCGCGCGAGAGGGAGAGACGACAGUAAGGAUAUUCACGAUGACGACGAGGAAGAGGAGACGAGACGACAGACGCGGCGCCCUCGUUGCCUCCGUCCGCCUCUUCCUCCUCCUUCUCCUACCCUCUGCCGCUUCGUCGUCCUCCUCCUCCUCUAGCUCCCUUCGGCAGCAGAGCAAGAUCAUCACCCAUCUCCCCGGCUUCGACGGCCCGCUCCCCUUCCAGCUCCAAACGGGG